AAGACACUUGCAAUGAAACCAAGACAUAUAUCUACAAAUAUUAGUGCUGCUGAAUAUAUCAGUAGUCCGAUUUCUCCGGAUGGUUCACCCACCUUAGACUCUUUCUAUUCAAAGUUUCACCACCUGAGAAGGAUUUUAGAAGAAGACUCGUCAAGUGAUAGUUCAUCACUCCUCAGCAGCAACUCUGAUGAAGGUUCUUGUAGUACCGAUAGCACCCGUGAUUCAACCAGCACAGAUGACUUCUCCGAUUAUAUUUUUGGUGAUUCAGGGAAUGGCUGGAGCAGCACAUGGAGGAAUUCUGAUUCUGAUUUUUCAUUCACACCAUCUUCAUCAUUGAACUCUAGGCAUUCACCCCUAUCUGAUAUGGACCGGCAUGAUUCAGUUUCUCCAACUGCGAAUAGGUUGCAAAAUCCCACAGGUUCAGGUGGAGGUGUUUCUCUUCUUCGUUGACACUUUACAGCAUAGGGAGUUAGGUAGUAGUAGGAUUAGUAGAUUUGGUUAGACUAACUCUUUUCAGAGAAUAGGAUCAAACCAUUUUAAGGUAAACUCUGGUAGAAAGUGAAGGGAAAGAACAGGUUGAAAAUUGUAUGAAUAGAGAGAUCCUGAGCAGUAAAUAAAGACGAGGGUUGGUCUACCUAAUGUACUCAAUAGGUGGGGUUCUAAAUACUAAGAAAUUAGCCACCCACCCCUCAUUUUGCCUAUAAUAACUAAAAGUAGAUGUAAAUAUAGAUUGUUGUAUGUAAUUGUUUGUAUAAUUUCAAUGGAAUUUAUUUAUUAUUACAAAAACAAACAUUUGAAAUGAUGGAUUAUUUUAUUUUAUAUUUUGGCUCUAAGACUGCCAUUAGAUAGUGAUAGACGAACAAGUGUUAGGUUUUCUGGUUUCUAAGUUCUAAAACUGUUACAUGUAGAAAUGAAUGCAUGUAAUUAUCUACUUGGUGAUUUAUUACAGGGUUAACCAGUGUAUUAGGCACUUUUAAUGGUUUAGAUCUACUCACUAAUUCAAACUAUUGCAUUUCCCUAAUAUUGAUGACUAGAAUGGAAUAAGUGAAUCCCCAUGUAUAUAUAUUGAUCAACUCAUAAUGUUUAGGAUAACUUUAUAGCCUACCCAUUUAUUCAUACAUGAAAAGAAAUGAAUCUCACCUCUCCUUUGCUCUUACUCAUCAUCUCUAUUGAGGACCUCAGCUCUCUCUAUUGGAGAGGCAAAUCAAUUAUUCUACUAUUUACCUUUAGAGGUCUUCGCAGUCUUCAAUUAUCGGUCUGCUAAUGCACAACAACUAUAAUGAUAUAUAUAUUUUAAGGAGUUCUGAUCAUCUCUAGUAGUAUUAGAUAGAAAUGUUAAUAUACACCAUAAAUUUUAAGGAUUUAAAAUUUUAAUUAUUUUUGAAUUAAAUAUUUUCAAAAAUAAUAAAUAUCUUCUUCUCUUCAUAUUCCAGUGGAACGUUCACCUCAAUUCAUUUUUUGGGGUUAGACAACAAAAGCAUGUACAAGAUGAUUGACAGUUUGAAAGCGAUGACUGAAUUUUAUUCACCCCAAUGUAGUAGUUUAGCUCAAAUGGCACCGACUCAAAAAAUAUAGGCUUUGAGUGAAUUUGAUACCUCUUCCUUUUUUUUACCUCGGCUCCCAUUUUCCAACCUCAAAGAAAUGUUACCUAUGUAACCAGGGAAAAACAGAAUAUGAUUUAAAAAGGCCUGCAAAAUUUUCAGUUGACACUGAAAUAAAUUAUCUAAAAAAAUUGGGCUAAAAUCUAUCAAAAAGUCAACAGCUCAUGCAUUUUGUAUUUCUUUUUGCACACCAAAAAUAUAACAUGUUCGUCUAUUAUAUCUUUCCAAAAAACAAGAAAAAAAUAACCCAUAUAAAAGUAAAUGACGUAAUAUUCAUCUAGAUUCCAAACAGGUAAUUUUCAAUAUGAGAAACAUGUUAUAAGAUAAUAGGUCCAUGAUUGUAUGUGGCAUGGGUUUGUUCAAUAUAAAUUAAGUGACAUGCAUUAUUUUAUUCUUUCCUUGUCAGUAAAUGGUGUAUAUUUUUUGCCAUAUUAGAUAAUCAGUAUGAAUGGUUAGGUAUGAUUUUUUUUUGUAGAAUCAAUUUGCUCUUCCACUGUGUAGGAUUUAUUUAUUUUAACUUGUCAACCUUCCUUUCGCAGUUGUUAUGCUAAUGCUGUUCUUCAGUGCUUAGCAUUUACACCACCCUUGACUACUUAUUUCCUUCAAGGACUGCAUUCUAAAGCAUGUAUGUACUCAGACAGUGUUUCUAUCUUGGAACCAUCGUAUGUCAUAUUUAUUAGUUCUCUGUUGUUACUUUUUCUUGAGGUAAAAUAUCUCCUAUGCAAAUUUCAGGUACAAAUAAAAAGUGGUGUUUCACCUGUGAGUUUGAAAGCUUAAUUUUGAAGUCAAAGGGAACAAAAUCUCCACUCUCUCCUAUUGGCAUACUAUCUCAACUACAAAAUAUUGGGAGCCAGCUUGGUAAUGGCAGGGAAGAAGAUGCACAUGAAUUUCUCAGGUAUUUUUUACACAUUUUGGUCUGUGUAAUAUAGCAUACUUAUUGCUCUGUAAUUCAUUUUUAAGUUAAUCAUAUGAAAUACUUGACAGGCAUUCUAUUGACACAAUGCAAUCAGUUUGCCUUAUGGAAGCUUGGGCUAACACACCGAGUUCAUUGGAAGAGGAAACUACUUUAAUGGGUCUUACAUUUGGAGGCUACCUUCGAUCAAAGGUAAUUUAAUAUUUCCAUCUGGAUUCUGGAAAAAUAAUACAUGACUAUCUGUUAUGAUUUUAUUUCUUUCCUGGUUAUAGGUGCAAUACAUUGUUGGUAUGUUUAUGAAAUAAAUAUGGUACUAUUCCUAUCAUUAUAACUUGUUUUGAUUGAAAGUAAUAUGAACAAUGGACUUACACUUCCUAUUUGACAGAUAAAGUGCAUGAAAUGUGGAGGGAAGUCUGAGCGCCAGGAAAGGAUGAUGGAUCUGACUGUUGAGAUAGGAGGGGAGAUAGCAACCUUGGAGGAGGCCCUUCGACGGUUUACAAGUACUGAGACUUUGGAUGGAGAAAACAAGUACCACUGUGUUAGGUUGGUUGAUUUUUGAGAUGUCUCUUGAAAGCUGAGUGUUAUCAUGCAAUAGGAUGUUCCGUUGUUAUUCUUAGAAAAUAUGGAAACUAACUACAUACAAGAGAGCCAGACCUCUGUGAGCCCUCUAAACAGAAACUAACAGAAUAAAAAAAUGGAAAAAAGGUCCCCAGAGUCACUGCAGAUAUCAAGAAACUCUUGGCCUUCUCCCCUUCUCCCAGAGUCAGCGAUUCUUAUGUUUGGCUUUUCUUAGCAUUUAGUAAUGUUCCCCGAGUCUCCCCCUUAUUCCUACUUUCAUACACUAGUAGUCCACUUUUCUUCCUUCUAGAAUAUACUUGGGCUUAGCAUCAAUCAUAUCUUACUCUUGCUUUCAUUAUUAUAACUAACUGAUUAUUAUUUCAGAAGGGAAAUGUUAUUUAGUAUGAAGCGGUUUUCGUAUUUUAUGUGUGAUCAGAUUUUUCUCUCAACUACCAUGAUUUCUGGUAAAUUCAUGAUUUCAUUAGUUUACAUGAAUUUUCUCAACAUCCGUAACAUUGCUAUUCGUACUGAGUAGCCACAAUACAGUGAUGCUUACAGUUUUGAAGUUGGGUUGGGCAUCUAUUUGUUUGUGUUGGCCAUUUCUUUCCCAGGCCUAGGUAAAGGCAUGCUAGAAAAACAGAUGAGUUGUCUGGUCUCAACCUGACUCAGGAUAAUUAGGAGUGAAAAGUUAAACAUUUUUCCAUAUGUUUGACCACCAAGUUGUGAUACUAGCUUUUCACUUAUUAUUUGGAUUUUGGAGUAUUGUUACAUUGGAGUAUUAUUUGAAGUAAUAAUAAUGUGAAAUUUUUUGUACUGGAAUUAUUUUCCUUAUUAUUAAUCAACUCUUUUCAUUUUAAGAUGUAAAUCUUAUGAGAAGGCCAAGAAGAAGCUGACAGUUUCAGAGGCACCUAAUGUUCUUACAAUUGCAUUGAAGAGAUUUCAGGUAUUUCAUGUGCUAAAUUCAAAGACAAUAUGUUGUUACCUACAUUAUUUGCAGCCUGUAUUUAGAGUUCACAUUAUGCUUGUUAUAUAUGCGACAUUGUGUGGCAGUCUGGGAAAUUCGGGAAGCUCAACAAGCCUAUUCAUUUUCCUGAAGUACUUGACUUGGCACCUUUCAUGAAUGGGACUAGUGAUAAAUCUCCUAUAUACAGACUGUAUGGGGUAGUAGUUCACUUGGAUAUCAUGAAUGCUGCCUUUUCGGGUCACUAUGUGUGCUAUGUGAAGAAUAUCCAAAACAAGUGGUUCAAGAUUGAUGACAGUGUGGUAUGUCCCCUCUAUUUCCAUUUGUUUUGUGAAUCUUGAUUCUUGAGAGUAAUCUCUUUCUGUCCUUAAGUCUUAAAUAUACUUUUCUUGAUUUACACUAGUAGCCAUGAUCUUCUCUUUAAGGUCGUAAACUAAAUGUAUAUAACCAAUAUUUAUCAUUACUGCUUUACAAACAUAAUUUAAAAUUUAAGUAUAUAAAGUCAUAAGCUUUACCAAUAUAUGUUUUUUGGAUUUCUUGUAAUUAUGUGGUCCAUGAAUGAAAGGUCCCUAGAAAAUUUCUUUCCAAACUCAUUUUGUUCUGGUAUAAAAUUGUCAAAUCCGGUGGGUGGACACGUCUUCAUAUUAGUGUUCUAUUACAUACAAACCAUAAGGAUGCAUACAAAGUUUUGAUGCUGUUAUUAGUAGUUCCUGUUAGAUGUGUUUGUGUGAGGGAUCAUUUGUAGGAUUUAUUUGAAGUUUUAUCAUCCGAGGGACACUGUUACUGUACUUUGUUUAAUCUUAUGUCUUGCAGGUGAUACCUGUUGAGUUGGAUAGAGUCUUAACAAAAGGAGCAUAUAUGCUUUUUUAUGCAAGGUAACCCAUCUGAUUUUGUUUUUUGUUGGGAAAGGUUCCUUUUAAUUAUACUCUUGUUCACUAUCUGACAAACUGAAUCACCUUGUAGGUGCUCUCCAAGGGCCCCAAGGAUAAUCAGGAACAUCAUAGUAUCCCCAGAUUCAAAAAGUAAGGUCAAUGGAAAGACACUUGCAAUGAAACCAAGACAUAUAUCUACAAAUAUUAGUGCUGCUGAAUAUAUCAGUAGUCCGAUUUCUCCGGAUGGUUCACCCACCUUAGACUCUUUCUAUUCAAAGUUUCACCACCUGAGAAGGAUUUUAGAAGAAGACUCGUCAAGUGAUAGUUCAUCACUCCUCAGCAGCAACUCUGAUGAAGGUUCUUGUAGUACCGAUAGCACCCGUGAUUCA
rnacentral:lncRNA from 1 species